rnacentral:lncRNA from 1 species
UGUCCAACUACCUGACUGUUCACAUGUAUACGUGUGCAUGUAUGUGCUUAUAUAUAAAAAUUCCACUCAGUAUUUCUCAAUUUUGCUCGGUUUCUGAGAGGCAAGGAAGGACAUUUUGGGCAUCUCUCUUUGUUCGGAGGAGGGCGGCCGCAAGAGCCGAUGCCUCUGCGCGAACAACAUCCCUGACUUUGCCAUGCCGCCGUUCCCAAGAGCUGUUUGCAGUGUCUUUUGAUAAUCCUGGGAGAAGCCAGUUGUCCUACAGAAGCCUGCAGAGGAGCUGUGCAAGCAUCUCCAUUUGCAGGGGCCAAGACAAGGUUCUUCCAGCCUACUGAAGCGUUGGAGAUGCAGACACCUACCACACUUUGCUUAAGGCUGCUGGCAGAGAGCAGGCUAUGAAUGGCCUGCUUUGAUUCUUCCUGCUGAAGCACAAAAUAGAU